UAAAUCAACAUAUUGAUUUAUAAGCAUGGAAAUCCCCUGAGUGAAACAACGAAUUGCUGUGUGUAGUCUUUGCCCAUCUCCCACGAUGGGCUUUUUUUUUG
rnacentral:other from 1 species